rnacentral:rRNA from 1 species
CCUACGGGUGACAGCAGUGGGGGAUAUUGCACAAUGGGGGAAACCCUGAUGCAGCGACGCCGCGUGAGUGAAGAAGCGAUUCGUUAUGUAAAGCUCUAUCAGCAGGGAAGAAAAUGACGGUACCUGAGUAAGAAGCCCCGGCUAACUACGUGCCAGCAGCCGCGGUAAUACGUAGGGGGCAAGCGUUAUCCGGAUUUACUGGGUGUAAAGGGGGCGUAGACGGCAGUGCAAGUCUGGAGUGAAAGGCGGGGGCUCAACCCCCGGACUGCUCUGGAAACUGUACGGCUGGAGUGCAGGAGAGGUAAGCGGAAUGCCUGGUGUAGCGGUGAAAUGCGUAGAUAUCAGGAGGAACACCAGUGGCGAAGGCGGCCUACUGGACUGUAACUGACGUUGAGGCUCGAAAGCGUGGGGAGCAAACAGGAUUAGAUACCCCGGUAGUC